rnacentral:rRNA from 1 species
UACGUAGGGGGCAAGCGUUGUCCGGAAUCAUUGGGCGUAAAGAGCGCGUAGGCGGUCCGGUAAGUCCGCUCUGAAAGUCCGGGGCUCAACCCCGGGAGGCGGGCGGAUACUGUCGGGCUAGAGUCCGGAAGAGGCGAGUGGAAUUCCUGGUGUAGCGGUGAAAUGCGCAGAUAUCAGGAGGAACACCGGUGGCGAAGGCGGCCUUCUGGACAGUGACUGACGCUGAGACGCGAAAGCGUGGGGAGCAAACAGG